UCUUCUGCCUCUGAACCCACCUGCACCCUUUCUGCAAUACCCAGGUACUAGCGAUGUAGAGGCUGCAGACUCUGGAUCGACGAGAUCGACGGUGGACACCAGCGGUGGAUCACAGGCACCAAGGACAGGGAAACAGUCUUCCCACAGAUCCAACCUUGAGUUUAUGAAAAAUUGGCACGUCAGUAUAAGAUAUGGCAUCUUUCCACCUCCCUUCCCAGGGACCAAUGCCCUGCCUUGAGACACACAGAAGACAAUCUGUAUUAUCAUAUCCUUUCACUGUUUCUUUGCUUUAACCCCUAGGAAUGUACCUGUUGGACAAUCAGAGGAGUUGCUUCAUUCCUAUGG